AGAGUUUGAUCCUGGCUCAGAACGAACGCUGGCGGCAGGCUUAACACAUGCAAGUCGAGCGCCCCGCAAGGGGAGCGGCGCACGGGUGAGUAAUACUUGGGAACGUGCCCUUCAGUGGCGAAUAACGUCGGGAAACUGACGCUAAUACGCCAUAUUCCCUCCGGGGGAAAGAUUUAUCGCUGAAGGAUCGGCCCAAGCCAGAUUAUGGUAGUUGGUGGGGUAAAAGCCUACCAAGCCUACGAUCUGUAGCUGGUCUGAGAGGACGACCAGCCACACUGGAACUGAGACACGGUCCAGACUCCUACGGGAGGCAGCAGUGGGGAAUAUUGGACAAUGGGGGAAACCCUGAUCCAGCCAUGCCGCGUGAAUGAUGAAGGCCUUAGGGUUGUAAAGUUCUUUUGCCAGGGAAGAUGAUGACGGUACCUGGAGAAUAAGCACCGGCUAACUUCGUGCCAGCAGCCGCGGUAAUACGAAGGGUGCUAGCGUUGUUCGGAAUUACUGGGCGUAAAGCGCGCGUAGGCUGUUUAUCAAGUCAGGGGUGAAAUCCUGGGGCUUAACCCCAGAAUUGCCUUUGAAACUGUUAAACUAGAGUGUCGGAGGGGAUAGCGGAAUUGCUAAUGUAGAGGUGAAAUUCGUAGAUAUUAGCAGGAACACCGGUGGCGAAGGCGGCUAUCUGGACGACAACUGACGCUGAGGCGCGAAAGCGUGGGGAUCAAACAGGAUUAGAUACCCUAGUAGUCC
rnacentral:rRNA from 1 species